UACAGAGGUGGCAAGCGUUGUUCGGAAUUACUGGGCGUAAAGGGCGCGUAGGUGGCCUUUUGAGUCAGACGUGAAAUCCCCCGGCUUAACCUGGGAACUGCGUCUGAUACUGGAAGGCUUGAGUUCGGGAGAGGGAUGUGGAAUUCCAGGUGUAGCGGUGAAAUGCGUAGAUAUCUGGAGGAACACCGGUGGCGAAGGCGGCAUCCUGGACCGGCAUUGACGCUGAGGCGCGAAAGCCAGGGGAGCAAACGGG
rnacentral:rRNA from 1 species